rnacentral:lncRNA from 1 species
AUGAUUAGCAAAGCUUGUAGCAGCGUUUUCCUGCUGGAGCUCUAGAGGCUUCGUAUUCUCCCUACAUGUUGCCAAAUGGCUGCCCCCAUCAUACGCCGAAUCGGAUUUGUCGAAUAAUCGUGCGGAGCACCUGAGAGACUCUCUCAAGAGAGUUUCUAGAAACCAAAUUAAAGAAGCGUAAUCCAGGGCAGCGGGGGAACAAGGGAGGGCAAACAUGCAGGGUGGUGGCCAAAAAGGAAAGAGAUCCCACAAUCACAAUCUCCACACAGGAUGGAUGAGGAUGAUGGCCAAAAAUGCAGAGCAGGUCCGCGUGGGGUGCGCACCUGAUGAAGCCGUUGCAGGACUGCAGGGGGUCGUACAGCGUUGUAGCAAGGAGCAGCAUGCGCGGUCGCUGGCGCAGUGGCUCGCUGGUCCGGAUCCAGGAAGCAGAGCCUGCUGCCCCGGCCGCCGCGAUGUCGUCGCAGAGGACAGACAGGGUCAGGUGUCUUGGUCUUGUCUAGUUGUCUUUGCCUCUAGAGAGGUGAGAGGAGCAGGAAUGCAGGAACAGGAGCUGACACCACUGUAGCAAUAUAUAGGCAGGGUUCAACGCUAGCGCAGGCUGUUAAUCACCAUCCAGCACCACUGCAGAUGGCGAAGCGG